UGGUCAAGUUAUUAAGGGUGCAGGGCGGAUGCCUUGGCACUAGGAGCCGAUGAAGGACGUGAUAAGCUGCGAUAAGCUUCGGGGAGUUGCACGUAAACUUUGAUCCGAAGAUUUCCGAAUGAGGAAACUCACUUAGAGUAAUGUCUAAGUAUCAUUAAGUGAAUACAUAGCUUAAUGAGGGGAACUCAGGGAACUGAAACAUCUAAGUACCUGAAGGAAGAGAAAGAAAUUCGAUUCCGUAAGUAGCGGCGAGCGAACGCGGAUUAGCCCAAACCAAUAAAGUUUUCUUUAUUGGGGUUGCGGACAUAUCAUAACGAAGAGGUAUCGUAAUUGAAGAGGUUUGGAAAGACCCACCACAGAAGGUAAUAGUCCUGUAUGUUAAACGAGAAGACUUUAGAUAUGAUCCAGAGUACCACGGGACACGUGAAACCCUGUGGGAAGCAGGAGGGACCACCCUCCAAGGCUAAAUACUACCUAGUGACCGAUAGCGUAUAGUACCGUGAGGGAAAGGUGAAAAGAACCCCGGGAGGGGAGUGAAAUAGAACCUGAAACCCUGCACUUACAAGCUGUGGAAGCACAUUUCUUGUGUGACCGCGUACUUUUUGUAGAACGGGCCAACGAGUUACGUUAAGUAGCAAGGUUAAGCACUUAAGGUGCGGAGCCGUAGCGAAAGCGAGUUUUAACUGAGCGUUCAGUUACUUGACGUAGACCCGAAACCGGGCGACCUACCCAUGAGCAGGAUGAAGCGAAAGUAAAAUUUCGUGGAGGUCCGAACCCACGAGCGUUGAAAAGCUCGGGGAUGACUUGUGGGUAGCGGUGAAAUUCCAAUCGAGCCCGGAGAUAGCUGGUUCUCCCCGAAAUAGCUUUAGGGCUAGCCUCAAGGUGAGAGAUACGGAGGUAGAGCACUGAAUGUCCUAGGGGGUAUUGCACCUACCGAAGACUAUCAAACUCCGAAUGCCGUCAUCUUAUACUUGGGAGUCAGACUGUGGGUGAUAAGAUUCAUAGUCGAAAGGGCAACAGCCCAGAUCGUCAGCUAAGGUCCCUAAAUGUAAGUUAAGUGGUAAAGGAUGUGGGAUUGCACAGACAACCAGGAUGUUGGCUUAGAAGCAGCCACUCAUUCAAAGAGUGCGUAAUAGCUCACUGGUCGAGUGAUCCUGCGCCGAAGAUUUCCGGGGCUAAAACUUACUACCGAAGCUACGGCAUCAGUAAUGAUGGGUAGGGGAGCUUCCCAUACGGGUUGAAGCAUGACCGUAAGGACAUGUGGACAGUAUGGGAGUGAGAAUGUUGGCAUGAGUAGCGAGAUGUGGGUG
rnacentral:rRNA from 1 species